UACGAAGGGGGCUGGCGUUGCUCGGAAUCACUGGGCGUAAAGGGCGCGUAGGCGGUCGUGACAAGUCACUUGUGAAAUCUCCGGGCUUAACUCGGAACGGUCAAGUGAUACUGUCGGACUAGAGUACAGAAGGGGCAACUGGAAUUCUCGGUGUAGCGGUGAAAUGCGUAGAUAUCGAGAGGAACACCUGCGGCGAAGGCGGGUUGCUGGGCUGAUACUGACGCUGAGGCGCGAAAGCCAGGGGAGCGAACGGG
rnacentral:rRNA from 1 species